rnacentral:rRNA from 1 species
GACGAACGCUGGCGGCGUGCUUAACACAUGCGAGUCGAACGGAAAGGCCCUGCUUUUGUGGGGUGCUCGAGUGGCGAACGGGUGAGUAACACGUGAGUAACCUGCCCUUGACUUUGGGAUAACUUCAGGAAACUGGGGCUAAUACCGGAUAGGAGCUCCUGCUGCAUGGUGGGGGUUGGAAAGUUUCGGCGGUUGGGGAUGGACUCGCGGCUUAUCAGCUUGUUGGUGGGGUAGUGGCUUACCAAGGCUUUGACGGGUAGCCGGCCUGAGAGGGUGACCGGCCACACGGGAAAUGAGACACGGGGCAGAGGCAUAGGGGAGGCAGCAGUGGGGAAGGUGGGACAGUGGGAGCAAGCCGGAUCGAGGGAUACCGCGUGGGUGAAGAAGACCUGCGGGGUGUAGAGCCCGUUGGUGGGGAAAGAAAAGCAGCAGGUGAAUACCCAGCUGGUGUGACGGGACCCAAAGAAUAAGCACCGGCUAACUUCGUG